GUGCGAAAGCACGAUGAGGGAAUCCCAAGUGCCAGCUCGUAAGAGUUGGCUGUUUUUCUGUCUAAAACACAGAGAGAGUAAGAGCUGGGUAAGACGGGUGCCAGCCGCCGCGGUAAUACCUGCAGCUCAAGUGGUGGCCGCUAUUAUUGGGCCUAAAACGUCCGUAGCCUGUUUAGUAAAUGCUUGGGUAAAUUGUGUAGCUUAACUAUACGAAUACCGGGUAGACUGCUAAACUUGGGACCGGGAGAGGCUAGAGGUACUCCUGGGGUAGAGGUGAAAUUCUGUAAUCCUAGGGGGACCACCAGUGGCGAAGGCGUCUAGCUAGAACGGGUCUGACGGUGAGGGACGAAGCCCUGGGGCGCAAACCGGAUUAGAUACCCGGGUAGUCCAGGGUGUAAACGCUGCUUGCUUGAUGUUAGUUGGGCUCCGAGCCCAACUAGUGUCGGANGAGAAGUUGUUAAGCAAGCUGCCUGGGAAGUACGGUCCCAAGACUGAAACUUAA
rnacentral:rRNA from 1 species